GUGAGAGUAGCAGAGUGGUAAUGAGCAGGGCUCGUAACCAAAAGGUUGCCAGUUCAAUCCCUCCCUGGGACA